rnacentral:tmRNA from 1 species
GGGGACGUACAAGAUUCGACAGAAUAUAUGCUCUUUAACACUGCAGGCCGACCUUGAUAGGUGGUUCGUAAAACAACUAUCAAAAACAUAAAUGCUGACGCACAAGCGUUUGCAGCCCGACCGGCAUUCGCAUAUAACAAUGUGUUGAGCGCCUAAAGGUCGUCUCUUAAAUCUUUUCUUGGUGGGAUUUUUGAGGCGUAAACACAGCCAAGAUGCAUCCGUAAAGGUUCUGACGUUCCUUUGCUGAUAAAGACCAAUACGUCAAAAUAAUCGUGUCAGUCUCACUGACUACGCCUGUAGAUGUGUUUGGGGUAUUAUUUUGGACGAGAGCUCACUACUCUCCGUCUCCACAC